GAUCAAGUGAUGAGAGAGAAAACUGCAACAAAAUGAUGGAAUUUUUCGUGAUUAUUUGUAUUUAAGUCUCUGAUGAUC